rnacentral:misc_RNA from 1 species
UCCGGUUUUUCACCGGCAGUCCCAUUAGAGUGCUCAACUUGACUUGGUGGCAACUAAUGGCAGGGGUCGCGCUCGUUGCGGGACUUAACCCAACAUCUCACGACACGAGCUGACGGCAGCCAUGCACCACCUGUGCAUCGGCCCCGAAGGGCUGCCGUAUUUCUACGACAUUCCAAUGCAUGUCAAGCCUUGGUAAGGUUCUUCGCGUUGCAUCGAAUUAAUCCGCAUGCUCCGCCGCUUGUGCGGGCCCCCGUCAAUUCCUUUGAGUUUUAGCCUUGCGGCCGUACUCCCCAGGCGGGGCGCUUAAUGCGUUAGCUGCGGCACGGAAUCCGUGGAAGGACCCCACACCUAGCGCCCAACGUUUACGGCGUGGACUAC